GACGAACGCUGGCGGCGUGCCUAAUACAUGCAAGUCGAACGCAGUGGGGACGGGUGAGUAACACGUGGGUAACCUCCCAUCAGAGGGGAUAACCCUUGGAAACAGGUGCUAAACCGAUACUGAUGGAUGGACCCGCGGUGCAUUAGCUAGUUGGUGAGGUAACGGCUCACCAAGGCCACGAUGCUUAGCCGACCUGAGAGGGGGAUCAGCCACACUGGAACUGAGACACGGCCCAGACUCCUACGGGAGGCAGCAGUAGGGAAUCGUGGGCAAUGGACGAAAGUCUGACCGAGCAACGCCGCGUGUGUGAAGAAGGUUUUCGGAUCGUAAAGCACGGUUGGUGGAGAGGCGGUAUCUAACCAGGAAGCCACGGCUAACUACGUGCCAGCCGCCGCGGUAAUUC
rnacentral:rRNA from 1 species